rnacentral:rRNA from 4 species
UUGACCUCAAAUCGGGUGAGACUACCCGCUGAACUUAAGCAUAUCAAUAAGCCGGAGGAA